rnacentral:rRNA from 1 species
GUCUAUGACCAUGCCACCCUGAACAAGCUCGAUCCCAUCUGAUCCUGGAAGCUAAGCAGGAUCGGGCCUGGUUAGUAUUUGCAUGGGAGACCACCUAGGAAGACCAGGUGUGCUGUAGGCA